rnacentral:rRNA from 1 species
GAUGAACGCUGGCGGCGUGCCUAAUACAUGCAAGUCGAGCGAACAGACGAGGAGCUUGCUCCUCUGACGUUAGCGGCGGACGGGUGAGUAACACGUGGAUAACCUACCUAUAAGACUGGGAUAACUUCGGGAAACCGGAGCUAAUACCGGAUCAUAUAUUGAACCGCAUGGUUCAAUAGUGAAAGACGGUUUUGCUGUCACUUAUAGAUGGAUCCGCGCCGCAUUAGCUAGUUGGUAAGGUAACGGCCUACCAAGGCAACGAUGCGUAGCCGACCUGAGAGGGUGAUCAGCCACACUGGAACUGAGACACGGUCCAGACUCCUACGGGAGGCAGCAGUGGGGAAUCUUGGGCAAUGGGCGAAAGCCUGACCGAGCCACGCCGCGUGGGUGAUGAAGGUCUUCGGAUCGUAAAGCUCUGUUAUUGGGGAAGAACAAAUGUGGAAUUAACUAUGGACGUCUUGACGGUACCUAAUCAGAAAGCCACGGCUAACUACGUG